AUUUAUUUCACUUGACUGGUCGGGGUUUAAGAAGUUCGUUUAUUUAAGACCAGUCCAUCUAUAGACAGGAGUUUUGGGAUAAACUCAUCAGUUAUUCGUCCCAUAUCAAACACUCAGUACUUUUGUAUAUGCGUUUCGGUGACACUGAUAGGUGAUUAGAACUCAAUAAUAAUUAUAACGGCACGGUAAUCAUCCUUAUCACACACAUCUUCAAAUAGACUGUUCUAAUGCAAAUUGAAACAUAAGCUCCGCCCG
rnacentral:lncRNA from 1 species